UACGAGGGGGGCGAGCGUUGUUCGGAAUUAUUGGGCGUAAAGGGUGCGUAGGCGGCCUGACAAGUCUGAUGUGAAAUCCCUGGGCUCAACCCAGGGCCUGCAUCGGAAACUGUCGGGCUUGAGUAUGGGAGAGGGAUGCGGAAUUCCAGGUGUAGCGGUGAAAUGCGUAGAUAUCUGGAGGAACACCGGUGGCGAAGGCGGCAUCCUGGACCGGCACUGACGCUGAGGAGCGAAAGCCAGGGGAGCAAACGGG
rnacentral:rRNA from 1 species